AUCCACUCAUUAUAACUCCAUACACUCCUCUCCCUAGCCUAUAAAUACAUCCACCCUUCACCAUAAUUUAGGGGCCAUCAUUCAAAGACACUACAUUUCACAUCUCACAACUUCAUUCACAAACACAAUUAACUUGCCGUGACCUCCAUCCAUUCAUCUAGCCAUACUACAUCUCACCAAUCCAUACACUUUCAUCUCUUAGCCGUGCAAAUACAUUCCAUCCAUAUAUCCAUACACAUCCUAGACACUUGUGCUACAACAAGGUGGUGAAAACAAAGGUCUUUGGCGUUUCAAGCUUGGAACUUUGGAGCGUUUUAGGUGUACUUCGUUCUUGCUUUCAAUGUCUACUUUGUUAUU
rnacentral:lncRNA from 1 species